UCAACGAAGCCCAAAUUUGAUCUUUGGUGAAAGAGCAACGAUAGUGCUGCUCGUUCGUCGCCGGCCCUAUGCAGAUCUCGCGCGUCAAGGCUGCUUGGUUUGGGAUUGUGCGGUUGUUGGGCAAAUGGAGAUAAGAUCCAGGAAUCCAAGAGCUGAGUUGUAUAUUGCCUCGUACUUACCAGUGGCCCUUACUUUAUAUAUGGAGAUAAUCAAGCUGUGUGUUCCCCUGUUUGGUUGUUGGAGAGAAGGAAUCCAAGAGCUACUGAUAUGUGUACCUACCGGUGGCCUCUCAUUAUUUAUCUACAAUUGUACGCCAGUACUACUUCAGUAUCAUAUUUUGGUUAAUUUGCUUUGUAACUUGUUUUUGUGUGUUGGCCACUGCUCCAGGACGAACUGAAAACCAGAAAUCUCAUAAGGAGGAAAGAAAUUCUGUGUGAAAGGUAUUAUCUAUCUUAUCGCAAGAAAAUUCUGAAGAUGCAGUCUUGCUGCAUCAAUUCUUUUCAUGACGCAGCGGCCCAAGUGAGAACUCGAUUCUCUACCUCUAGAGCUUACAUCAUCGAAUAAAUUUCAGUUUAAGGAUGGCUGUAGGAGCACAUAAGUAAACUAUAUUGUAAAGGGCACCUGGAGUAAGAUUAAUUAUCUCCAGCGUAAAAAUAUUAUCUGGUGGAACAGAUAUCAGUUUCCAAACCAGAAGUGAGAAGUCCCGUCCUCAGUUUCAGUCUAUCGCUAGAGACUCUGCUACUUACUACCGUCAGCUGACCAGAAUCCUUCCUGUGCAGACAGCAUUCACUUGUUUGCUGGACAGACUCAGGGUUUUGUAGGCAUUCCUCUGCAACUGCACAAUGAGGCAUGAUGGUAUAGAUCAGAUUUACGGUCAUCAGGACAAUCAAAUAUGAUCUGACGUUCAUGAAGAUAACGCUGGUGUUUGACGCGGGGAGUUGCCAGCGAUGGAGAUCACCAAUAGCAAUAGGUAGCCAUUUGUUUGUCCGGCUUGCCUUUUGGCUCCUCCGACAGACACUAGUAGUACUAGUCUUUUGCUGUUUGAGUUCACCAAACUCACACAUCUCAUUUCCCUAAAAAAAACUCUCAUUUGUUUCGAGUGAAGCACGGUGCUCGUGACAGACACACAUGUCAGCCCCUCUCCUCUCAGACAAGAACGCCUGCUUCGAGGUUAUUUUUUUCA